rnacentral:lncRNA from 1 species
AGUUUUGUAUUCUGGAUCUUUUCCAGCCGUCGUUCAUGUUUCCCGUCGCAGCUCGUUGUUCUUGUUUGAAGAUCUGUUGGAAUUCCUUCAGUUUGGAUCCGUGAGAUCGAAGUAGUGGUUGAUAUGCAUUUGAUGUGAAGCUCUAUUUUUCAGUGUAAAAGAAAGAAUUCUAAGGUUCAUUUCUUUUCUAUUUCUACAAUUAUUUGAAUUGCAGCUCAAGUGUUUGUUGUUUUGUCUCUCUUAGAAAUUUUAGUGUAUUUAGAAUUCUAAGGUUCAUUUCUUUUCUAUUUCUACAAUUAUUUGAAUUGCAGCUCAAGUGUUUGUUGUUUUGUCUCUCUUAGAAAUUUUAGUGUNNNN